rnacentral:rRNA from 1 species
GACGAACGCUGGCGGCGUGCUUAACACAUGCAAGUCGAACGGAAAGGCCCUGCUUUUGUGGGGUGCUCUAGUGGCGAACGGGUGAGUAACACGUGAGUAACCUGCCCUUGACUUUGGGAUAACUUCAUGAAACUGGGGCUAAUACCGGAUAGGAGCUCCUGCUGCAUGGUGGGGGUUGGAAAGUUUCGGCGGUUGGUGAUGGACUCGCGGCUUAUCAGCUUGUUGGUGGGGUAGUGGCUUACCAAGGCUUUGACGGGUAGCCGGACUGAUAGGGUGACCGGCCAAAUUGGGACUGAGAUACGGCACAGACUCCUACGGGAGGCAGCAGUGGGGAAUAUUGCACAAUGGGCGGAAGCCUGAUGCAGCAACGCCGCGUGCGGGAUGACGGCCUUCGGGUUGUAAACCGCUUUCGCCUGUGACGAAGCGUGAGUGACGGUAAUGGGUAAAGAAGCACCGGCUAACUCCGUG